rnacentral:lncRNA from 1 species
GUGGAUGGAACCUGUGAUUUGCUUCUAACUAGUAGAAUUUGGCAAAAAAUGAUGAGAUAUAUGUGAUUAUGUUUACAUGAUUAUAUUAUAUACGAUUCUGAGUACAUUGAGCUGCAUAGAGAGAGCACGGGGGCAAGUGAGAGCCAGGUGGGCACUGGAAAGCUCUGUGCCUCACUGAGGAAAAAUAACUAAACAUGGGCAAAAGAGAUCCAUGGAACCUGAGAGGCAAAGUGUUAUUAUAUGCAUUCUUUGGCAAACUUGUCAGGAGGCGCAUAAGAAGAAGCACCCAGAUGGUUCAGUCAACUUCUCAGUUUUCUAGGAAGUGCUCAGAGAGGUGCAAGACCAUGUCUGUGCUUCUGGCUUUAGCACGUGGGUCCCUGACUCCAGCUUUACUCUUUUUUUUUUUUUUUUUGAGACGGAGUCUCACUCUGUCACCCAGGCUGG